rnacentral:rRNA from 1 species
ACGAACGCUGGCGGCGUGCUUAACACAUGCCAGUCGCACGGAAAGGCCCUGCUUGCAGGGUACUCGAGUGGCGAACGGGUGAGUAACACGUGGGUGAUCUGCCCUGCACUUCGGGAUAAGCCUGGGAAACUGGGUCUAAUACCGGAUAGGAGCCAUUUUUAGUGUGAUGGUUGGAAAGUUUUUUCGGUGUAGGAUGAGCUCGCGGCCUAUCAGCUUGUUGGUGGGGUAAUGGCCUACCAAGGCGGCGACGGGUAGCCGGCCUGAGAGGGUGGACGGCCACAUUGGGACUGAGAUACGGCCCAGACUCCUACGGGAGGCAGCAGUGGGGAAUAUUGCACAAGGGGCGCAAGCCUGAUGCAGCGACGCCGCGUGGGGGAUGACGGCCUUCGGGUUGUAAACUCCUUUCGCUAGGGACGAAGCUUUUUGUGACGGUACCUAGAUAAGAAGCACCGGCUAACUACGUG